rfam:Vitis vinifera, whole genome shotgun sequence of line PN40024, unoriented chromosome 9, chr9
AAUCUGUGGUGAGGACAUCUCAUCAACAACUCUUUGAAUCUAUCCCAACAUUCAUAUAAACUUUCUUUCCUUUACAACAAAAGUUCAGAAUCUGCCUCUUUAGCACU